UCCAACUAUAACUGCCUUCUUGUCGUGGU
rnacentral:piRNA from 1 species